rnacentral:tRNA from 1 species
GAGCGCCGGCUAAAUGAUCUCCAGUCAAAAGAGCCUCUGACUUUUAAUCAGAGGGUCCUGGGUUCGAGUCCCAGCGCGCUCACUA